GUCCUCGUCCCUGUCUCCCAACCCUCGUACCAGGGCCAUGCUCAGACCCUGGUGCAGGGAUGGGGGGCAGGGCCGUGGGG
rnacentral:pre_miRNA from 1 species